AUUGAACGCUGGCGGCAUGCCUUACACAUGCAAGUCGAGCGGCAGCGCGGGGGCAACCCUGGCGGCGAGCGGCGCACGGGUGAGUAAUACAUCGGAACGUGUCCUUUCGUGGGGGAUAACCAGUCGAAAGACUGGCUAAUACCGCAUGAGAUCUCACGAUGAAAGCGGGGGACCCGAGGGUAACUUCGGGCCUCGCGCGAUUGGAGCGGCCGAUGUCGGAUUAGCUAGUUGGCGGGGUAAAAGCCCACCAAGGCGACGAUCCGUAGCUGGUUUGAGAGAACGACCAGCCACACUGGGACUGAGACACGGCCCAGACUCCUACGGGAGGCAGCAGUGGGAAUUUUGGACAAUGGGGGCAACCCUGAUCCAGCCAUGCCGCGUGUGUGAAGAAGGCCUCGGUG
rnacentral:rRNA from 1 species